AUUCAAACACCGCUUCUCGUACGAUCACCGAAGUUAAGCAGCGUCGAGCCUGGCCAGUACCUAGAUGGGUAACCGCUUGGGAAUACCAGGUGCUGUAAG